GCUGGGUGUGGUGGCGCAUGCCUGUAAUCCCAGCUACUCAGGAGGCUGAGGCAGGGGAAUCACUUGAAUCCAGGAGGUGGAGGUUGCAGUGAGCUGAGAUUGCGCCACUGCACUCCAGCCUUGGCUACAGAGUGAGACUCAGUCUCAA
rnacentral:SRP_RNA from 1 species